GCUAAGGUGGCAGAGCCCGGUAAUUGCGAGAGACCUAAGCCCUCUUACUCAGAGGUUCAAACCCUCUUCUUAGCU
rnacentral:tRNA from 1 species